rnacentral:tRNA from 2 species
GCUCCAGAUGCGCAGAGGUGAGCGCUUCGUGCUUAUAGAUUUGAAAACUAUGCAAAACGCACAGUCGAUGAGACGCGACGGUCGUGGGUUCGAUCCCCUCCUGGAGCA